rnacentral:lncRNA from 1 species
CAAAAGGGCUCAUUUCAUUUUCAAGAAACUGGGAAACCUAAUUCCGAGAACCUUGAUUCGAACCUCAGCCUUGAAAAGCUGGAUAAAAUUGCAACCCAGACCCAAACUGCAGCCAAACGGAAACCACCUGGCCCUUGUCCAGCCAUUUCAGCCGACCGAAACGCAGAGGCAGGGAAGCUCCCGCUGCCCUAUCCGCUCAGAAGCCGAGGGGAGGGCUCCCGAGGCGGCUCGCAGGUGGGGCCCGCCCCGGCCCCGAAGCGGGAGCGGCGAUACAGCACAGCGAGCCGCUCACCGGCCCCAUCCCCUCCUGAGGGCGCCUCCGCCGGGGAGUUCCCCUCAGCGUGGCCAGGUGGGGCCGUCCCCGCCUCCCCGCCCCUCGGGCAGCGCGCUCCCCGACCGGCAGCAGCGGCAGUGCGGUUCCCGCCUCGGCAGCGGCUCUUCCCAGCGCUGCCCGCCACACGCAACAGGUCAGCGCCGGGGGAGCCGCUUCCUCCCGCCCUGUACAUGUGUGCGCGCCGCUGUGCCGGGAAACAAAGGGGCCGAGCGCGGCGCGGCGCGGCCCCCGGGGUGAGCGCAGCUUCUACGCGCCACGGACUCUCGCGUUCAGCCAUUUGCAGCGCCCGGCAGCGCCCCUCCGCCUCUCUCUCUCUCUCUCUCCCCCCCCCUCCUCCCUCUCCCUCCUCCCACCGCGCUCCCCCCCCCGCCGCCGCAGGCUACGGUGUUCCGCGGAGUUGCUCUGCAACGCCGGGCCCGCGGGUGGGCAGGCGGCGGGCAUCGCGCCCGGGCCAGGGCUGCCCGCGGGUGGGCGGGCGAGAGGCGGGUUGCGUUGCCGGAGUCGCGCUGCCCGAAGGAGAAAUGCAUUUGAGGAGCAGUGAUAUGAAGAAACAUUCUUGAAGUUCAUGUAGAAGAAACCUUGGCUUAUAGGAAAUCUUCCAGAACAGAUUGCAACCACUUUCCCUGAAGUAGCUGUACAAGAUGAACAGGCUGUGAUAAUAUUCUUAACUAUCUGACUUGAAAGGACAUGUUUCCGGGUUGCUCAGCAUGGUGUGGGGACCAGUUGCCAUGAAAGGAUGCUGCACAUGAAAACUGUUUAAAAUUUUCAUAUAAUAACAAAAAAAGCAGAACUGCUUUGCAGGCUAUUGAGGUGUGAUAUUCAUAAAGGGAAGACGUUCAGGUUUUCAUGGGCAGUGUCUGACUGAGGAGAUGCCAUUGCUGGCCAGGCCACAGAAGCUCAAGGCUCUCUGAUGUCCCCCAGCAGGUGAUGGGCAUUUCAGUGCGACCAAGGCCUGUCCAGAGCGGUGCUGUGCAACACCAGAGCAGCU